CCUACGGGAGGCAGCAGUGAGGACUAUUGGUCAAUGGACGAGAGUCUGAACCAGCCAAGUAGCGUGAAGGAUGACUGCCCUAUGGGUUGUAAACUUCUUUUAUAUGGGAAUAAAACGUUCCACGUGUGGGAUUUUGUAUGUACCAUAUGAAUAAGGAUCGGCUAACUCCGUGCCAGCAGCCGCGGUAAUACGGAGGAUCCGAGCGUUAUCCGGAUUUAUUGGGUUUAAAGGGAGCGUAGGUGGAUUGUUAAGUCAGUUGUGAAAGUUUGCGGCUCAACCGUAAAAUUGCAGUUGAAACUGGCAGUCUUGAGUACAGUAGAGGUGGGCGGAAUUCGUGAUGUAGCGGUGAAAUGCUUAGAUAUCACGAAGAACUCCGAUUGCGAAGGCAGUUCACUGGACUGCAACUGACACUGAGGCUCGAAAGUGUGGGUAUCAAACAGGAUUAGAUACCCGGGUAGUC
rnacentral:rRNA from 1 species